rnacentral:rRNA from 1 species
UACGUAGGGUGCGAGCGUUGUCCGGAAUUAUUGGGCGUAAAGGGCGCGUAGGCGGCAGGCCAAGCGUGCGGUGAAAGUCCGGGGCUCAACCCCGGAUCUGCCGUGCGGACUGGUUUGCUAGAGCACUGUAGAGGCGAGUGGAAUUCCGGGUGUAGCGGUGGAAUGCGUAGAGAUCCGGAAGAACACCGGUGGCGAAGGCGGCUCGCUGGGCAGUGGCUGACGCUGAGGCGCGACAGCGUGGGGAGCGAACAGG